CCUACGGGUGGCAGCAGUGAGGAAUAUUGGUCAAUGGCCGGAAGGCUGAACCAGCCAUGCCGCGUGAAGGUCAGUGCCCUAUGGGCGUUAAACUUCUUUUGUUCGGGAGCAAUAAUGGUCACGUGUGGCCAGACGAGAGUACCGUACGAAUAAGCAUCGGUUAACUCCGUGCCAGCAGCCGCGGUAAUACGUAGGUGGCAAGCGUUGUCCGGAUUUACUGGGUGUAAAGGGCGUGUAGCCGGGCUGACAAGUCAGAUGUGAAAUCCGGGGGCUAAACCCCCGAACUGCAUUUGAAACUGUUGGUCUUGAGUAUGGGAGAGGCAGGCGGAAUUCCUAGUGUAGCGGUGAAAUGCGUAGAUAUUAGGAGGAACACCAGUGGCGAAGGCGGCCUGCUGGACGACAACUAACGGUGAGGCGCGAAAGCGUGGGGAGCAAACAGGAUUAGAUACCCGUAGUC
rnacentral:rRNA from 1 species